rnacentral:rRNA from 1 species
UGGGGAAUUUUGGACAAUGGGGGAAACCCUGAUCCAGCCAUCCCGCGUGUGCGAUGAAGGCCUUCGGGUUGUAAAUCACUUUUGGCAGGAAAGACACGUCAUGGGUUAAUACCCCGUGAAACUGACGGUACCUGCAGAAUAAGCACCGGCUAACUACGUGCCAGCAGCCGCGGUAAUACGUAGGGUGCAAGCGUUAAUCGGAAUUACUGGGCGUAAAGCGUGCGCAGGCGGUUCGGAAAGAAAGAUGUGAAAUCCCAGAGCUCAACUUUGGAACUGCAUUUUUAACUACCGGGCUAGAGUGUGUCAGAGGGAGGUGGAAUUCCGCGUGUAGCAGUGAAAUGCGUAGAUAUGCGGAGGAACACCGAUGGCGAAGGCAGCCUCCUGGGAUAACACUGACGCUCAUGCACGAAAGCGUGGGGAGCAAACAGG